UACAGAGGUCCCAAGCGUUGUUCGGAUUCACUGGGCGUAAAGGGUGCGUAGGUGGUUAGGUAAGUCCGAUGUGAAAUCUCCAGGCUCAACCUGGAAAUGGCAUUGGAUACUAUUUAGCUUGAGGAGUGGAGGGGGGGACUGGAAUUCUCGGUGUAGCAGUGAAAUGCGUAGAUAUCGAGAGGAACACCAGUGGCGAAGGCGAGUCCCUGGACACUUCCUGACACUGAGGCACGAAAGCUAGGGGGGCAAACAGG
rnacentral:rRNA from 1 species